ensembl:lncRNA
UGAGCAUGAUUUUGUUCCAGGGUUGUGAGGGUAUCUGAAUCUGUCCCUCAGAAAUUUCAAUUCAAAGUAAAUCCAGAUGGAUUUUACCAAGAUUGCUUGUGAAAUGCACUGUGACUAGAGAAAUUUGAAGAGGGAAGGAAGGAGCUUGAACUGCAAUACUAAAACAAAACAAAAUAAAAAAUAAUAAUACAUGGAAGUAUAAAAUAGUAAAAGACAAUCAGAACAUGUAUUUAUACUAAAUUAAAACUUUAUUGACUAAUGUUCUCCAGACAACAUGAUCCAAUGGACUAUGGUUGCAAACAUGCAAUGAAGUUGAACACAACAGUAGUUUAACAUGGAAUGUCAAACAAAUUAAUAUAUUGUAGUAAAUGAAACCAUUUAUCUGUGUUGCUGCAAAAUGAAACCAAGCUAUGUAUUUCCUUGGUCAAUCUGUGUUCAGCUAAGAGGCAAUGCAUUUGAAGAAACUGCAAAAGUCACGUAGGCAUAUUUUAUUAUUAAUCCAGCACAAAGCAUUUCUUCUAAGUUUUUCACAUAAAAGACUAAAGCUUGCUUACAGUACUACAACUUCUAUCGUUCAAGCAUCAUUAUUACCUAUCAGGGAGAUUGGCUAGAUGACAGAAUGGGUCUUUUCCAUCCCUAACUUCUAUAAAGAAAAUCAUUCAUGCCAGCAAGAAGAUGGGUCGCUACAUCUUGAGCUUGAUCCUGUAGGCUUUGUUCAGGCAAAACUCCCACUGACUUAAGAGAGGUUUUCCAGAGCAGGACAUCCAGGAUUAGGCCCUUUUUUUUAUUUUUAUUUUUUAAAAAAGCAUCCACUUAGGAUACGUGGACAAUAUUAUAUAGAAUUAAAAAAAUAUACGACAUGUGCUUCAAUUGCAUUGAAGGAAUCAGAGAAUGUAAACAGCAUAGUGGCCCACACCUUCACAAUAUCCAUGAGGAAGUGUCAACAGCAAGUGUGCGUAUGCUUCUCAGUGUAUGCUUCUGAUUGUGUUUUGUGUACACCUUUACCUCCAUGUCCACACACACAUGUACACCCUUAAAAUACAUAAAGGUGUGAUAAAAUUAAUUAGAGUCGGUUGCUUGCCUGUCUUAAUGCUUAAAUCUGCAAGUGACAGCCAACUGGGUUUUAUAUGAUGCGAAUGAGACUGCACGUGAACAGCAGGACAUGAAUAUUGCUGUGGGCAAGAGUGUGGUUGCUGGUUCUAGGAGCGUGGAGCCAUCCCACUUCCACCUAUGCACAUCACUAAAUCUACCUGCAUUAAGAGCUGGAAAAGCAGGUGACCAAAGUAUUUCUUGGUGGGCUUCUUCUGAAAUUUGAGUUGUAGACUAUCUUCACAGAAGCCUUUCAACAACCUGGUGGACUAUGCAGGAAAGUUUACCUUCAAAGUGCACUUAUUAAGAAUGGAAUGUUCUUGACAGGGAAAUGAUCAGAGACAAUCCUGGAUUUUUUGCUUGUUGAAUAGGAAAAACAUUUUCAUCUUCAGACAGCACUUCACCCUGACAAAUGUGAGUUCAGUUAUUAUUGGGUUUUAGAAGAUUCUUUAGAAACAAACACAAUAGUACGCACAUACACAUACACUCAGAUAUUUACAGCCUUUCUAGAAAAAACGACCC